AUUGAACGCUGGCGGCAGGCCUCACACAUGCAAGUCGAACGAGUGGCGGACGGGUGAGUAAUGUCUGGGAAACUGCCUGAUGGAGGGGGAUAACUACUGGAAACGGUAGCUAAUACCGCAUACCAUCAGAUGUGCCCAGAUGGGAAUAGCUUGUGGGUGGGGUAAGGGCUCACCAAGGCGACGAUGCCUAGCUGGUCUGAGAGGAUGACCAGCCACACUGGAACUGAGAAACGGGCCAGACUCGUACGGGAGGCAGCAGUGGAGAAUAUUGCACAAUGGGGGCAAGACUGAUGAAGCAAUGCCGCGUGUAUGAAGAAGGCCUUCGGGUUGUAAAGUACUUUCAGCGGGGAGGCGUUACCCAAAGAAGAAGCACCGGCUAACUACGUGCCAGCAGCCGCGGUAAUUC
rnacentral:rRNA from 1 species